UCACAGCGAUCAGCCAAUCAGGUGAGCGCAACGAAGUUGCGCUUCCUGAUUGGCUUAGAGACCUGUCAGUGACAGCUGUCACUGACAGAUCUUAAUCGUGGAAAGGUGUCCCAUGUGUCAACAUGGGACCCCUUUCAGUCCGUUUUUGGUGCGGGUAAAUGCGCUUUCUUUUUUUGCCAAGUACGUGGAUUUAUCUCUGGACCCUGAGGUCCUGCGUUGUAUCUUCCCAAGUGGCGUGGAUGUGAGGAGACACGACAUUUCACCCGAUGUUCCAUGGGCGACCUACUGGUGAUGUGGACCUGACCCUCCGCCAUGUAGCAGACAACCACCUCAGGUACUGCGGUGUAUCUUCCCAAGUGGCGUGGAUGUGAGGAGACACGACAUUUCACCCGAUGUUCCAUGGGCGACCUACUGGUGAUGUGGACCUGACCCUCCGCCAUGUAGCAGACAACCACCUCAGGUGAGAUGCAAUUGACCAACAAAACUCAC